rnacentral:rRNA from 1 species
GUAAAACGCACUGGAGGACCGAACCGACUACCGUUGAAAAGUUAGCGGAUGACCUGUGGAUCGGAGUGAAAGGCUAAUCAAGCUCGGAGAUAGCUGGUUCUCCUCGAAAGCUAUUUAGGUAGCGCCUCAUGUAUCACUGUAGGGGGUAGAGCACUGUUUCGGCUAGGGGGUCAUCCCGACUUACCAAACCGAUGCAAACUCCGAAUACCUACAAGUGCCGAGCAUGGGAGACACACGGCGGGUGCUAACGUCCGUCGUGAAAAGGGAAACAACCCAGACCGUCAGCUAAGGUCCCAAAGUUAUGGUUAAGUGGGAAACGAUGUGGGAAGGCUUAGACAGCUAGGAGGUUGGCUUAGAAGCAGCCACCCUUUAAAGAAAGCGUAAUAGCUCACUAGUCGAGUCGGCCUGCGCGGAAGAUGUAACGGGGCUCAAACCAUACACCGAAGCUACGGGUGUCACUUAGGUGACGCGGUAGAGGAGCGUUCUGUAAGCCUGUGAAGGUGAGUUGAGAAGCUUGCUGGAGGUAUCAGAAGUGCGAAUGCUGACAUGAGUAACGACAAUGGGAGUGAAAAACUCCCACGCCGAAAGACCAAGGUUUCCUGCGCAACGUUAAUCGACGCAGGGUUAGUCGGUCCCUAAGGCGAGGCUGAAAAGCGUAGUCGAUGGAAAACAGGUUAAUAUUCCUGUACUUCUAGUUAUUGCGAUGGAGGGACGGAGAAGGCUAGGCCAGCUUGGCGUUGGUUGUCCAAGUUUAAGGUGGUAGGCUGAGAUCUUAGGUAAAUCCGGGAUCUUAAGGCCGAGAGCUGAUGACGAGUUGCCUUUAGGCGACGAAGUGGUUGAUGCCAUGCUUCCAAGAAAAGCUUCUAAGCUUCAGAUAACUAGGAACCGUACCCCAAACCGACACAGGUGGUUGGGUAGAGAAUACCAAGGCGCUUGAGAGAACUCGGGUGAAGGAACUAGGCAAAAUGGCACCGUAACUUCGGGAGAAGGUGCGCCGGUGAGGGUGAAGGACUUGCUCCGUAAGCUCAUGCCGGUCGAAGAUACCAGGCCGCUGCGACUGUUUAUUAAAAACACAGCACUCUGCAAACACGAAAGUGGACGUAUA